rnacentral:rRNA from 1 species
UGGGGAAUAUUGGGCAAUGGGCGCAAGCCUGACCCAGCAACGCCGCGUGAAGGAAGAAGGCUUUCGGGUUGUAAACUUCUUUUAUAAGGGACGAAAGAAAUGACGGUACCUUAUGAAUAAGCUCCGGCUAACUACGUGCCAGCAGCCGCGGUAAUACGUAGGGAGCAAGCGUUAUCCGGAUUUACUGGGUGUAAAGGGCGUGUAGGCGGGAAGGCAAGUCAGAUGUGAAAACUAUGGGCUCAACCCAUAGCCUGCAUUUGAAACUGUUUUUCUUGAGUACUGGAGAGGCAGGCGGAAUUCCGUGUGUAGCGGUGAAAUGCGUAGAUAUACGGAGGAACACCAGUGGCGAAGGCGGCCUGCUGGACAGCAACUGACGCUGAGGCGCGAAAGCGUGGGGAGC